ACCUGCAUUCGAAAGUGACGGCGGCCUGGGCGUGGCCGGGUCAUCGAUAGUGCAGGGAGAGGAAUGCGAGAGCUUUCCCGUGUCUGCGGGGAUCCCCCUGCCCUCCAGACCCUGUUGCUGUCGGACA
rfam:Picoides pubescens contig34892, whole genome shotgun sequence.